CUUUCCCCUUUCGGGGGGUUGGUGGGGUGUGGGAGUGGCGGACGGGUGAGUAACACGUGAGUAACCUGCCCUGGGCGUGGGGAUAACCCUGGGAAACUGGGGCUAAUACCGGAUGGCUCGCAUCUCUCGCAUGGGGGGUGUGGGAAAGGUUCUCUCCUGUGAGGGGGGGUUCCGGCCUGGGAGGGGCUCGCGGCCCAUCAGCUUGUUGGUGCGGUGAGGGCGUACCAAGGCGAUGACGGGUAGCCGGCCUGAGAGGGUGAUCGGCCACACUGGGACUGAGACACGGCCCAGACUCCUACGGGAGGCAGCAGUGGGGAAUUUUGCGCAAUGGGCGGAAGCCUGACGCAGCGACGCCGUGUGGGGGAGGACGGCCUUCGGGUUGUAAACCCCUUUCGGCCCUGACGAAUGUGACGGUAGGGGCUAAAGAAGCGCCGGCUAACUACGUGCCAGCAGCCGCGGUAAUACGUAGGGCGCGAGCGUUGUCCGGAUUUACUGGGCGUAAAGGGCUCGUAGGCGGUUUGUCGCGUCGGUCGUGGAAAUGUGCGGCUUAACCGGGCACGUGCGGCCGAUACGGGCAGACUCGAGGGCGGUAGGGGCAAGCGGAAUUCCUGGUGUAGCGGUGAAAUGCGCAGAUAUCAGGAGGAACACCGAUGGCGAAGGCAGCUUGCUGGGCCGUUCCUGACGCUGAGGAGCGAAAGCAUGGGGAGCGAACAGGAUUAGAUACCCUGGUAGUCCAUGCUGUAAACGUUGGGCG
rnacentral:rRNA from 1 species